rnacentral:rRNA from 1 species
GACGAACGCUGGCGGCGUGCCUAAUACAUGCAAGUCGAGCGGAAUGAUGAAGAAGCUUGCUUCUCCUGAUUUUAGCGGCGGACGGGUGAGUAACACGUGGGCAACCUACCUUGUAGAUUGGGAUAACUCCGGGAAACCGGGGCUAAUACCGAAUAAUCCAUUUUGCUUCAUGGCGAGAUGUUGAAAGACGGUUUCGGCUGUCACUACAAGAUGGGCCCGCGGCGCAUUAGCUAGUUGGUAGGGUAAUGGCCUACCAAGGCGACGAUGCGUAGCCGACCUGAGAGGGUGAUCGGCCACACUGGGACUGAGACACGGCCCAGACUCCUACGGGAGGCAGCAGUAGGGAAUCUUCCACAAUGGACGAAAGUCUGAUGGAGCAACGCCGCGUGAGUGAAGAAGGUUUUCGGAUCGUAAAACUCUGUUGUAAGGGAAGAACACGUACGAGAGUAACUGCUCGUACCUUGACGGUACCUUAUUAGAAAGCCACGGCUAACUACGUG